rnacentral:rRNA from 1 species
UACGUAGGGUGCAAGCGUUUGUCCGGAAUUAUUGGGCGUAAAGAGCUCGUAGGCGGUCUGUCGCGUCUGCUGUGAAAACUCAGGGCUUAACCCUGAGCUUGCAGUGGGUACGGGCAGACUAGAGUGCGGUAGGGGAGACUGGAAUUCCUGGUGUAGCGGUGAAAUGCGCAGAUAUCAGGAGGAACACCGGUGGGCGAAGGCGGGG